UACGAGGGGGGCAAGCGUUGUUCGGAAUUAUUGGGCGUAAAGGGUGCGUAGGCGGUUUGACAAGUCUGAUGUGAAAUCUAUGGGCUCAACCCAUAGUCUGCAUUAGAAACUGUCGGGCUUGAGUAUGGGAGAGGUAGAGGUGAAUUUCCGUGUAGCGGUGAAAUGCGUAGAUAUCAGGAGGAACACCUGCGGUGUAGACGGCUUACUGGACCAUAACUGACGCUGAGGCACGAAAGCGUGGGUAGCAAACAGG
rnacentral:rRNA from 1 species